rnacentral:rRNA from 1 species
ACGAACGCUUGCGGCAUGCCUAACACAUGCAAGUCGAACGAGACCUUCGGGUCUAGUGGCGCACGGGUGCGUAACGCGUGGGAACCUGCCCUUAGGUUCGGAAUAACUCCCCGAAAGGGGUGCUAAUACCGGAUAAUGUCUUCGGACCAAAGAUUUAUCGCCUUUGGAUGGGCCCGCGUUGGAUUAGCUAGUUGGUAGGGUAAAAGCCUACCAAGGCGACGAUCCAUAGCUGGUCUGAGAGGAUGAUCAGCCACACUGGGACUGAGACACGGCCCAGACUCCUACGGGAGGCAGCAGUGGGGAAUAUUGGACAAUGGGCGAAAGCCUGAUCCAGCAAUGCCGCGUGAGUGAUGAAGGCCUUAGGGUUGUAAAGCUCUUUUACCCGGGAUGAUAAUGACAGUACCGGGAGAAUAAGCUCCGGCUAACUCCGUG